AAGGCCGGGGGGGCUGCGGCAGCGCCUCAGCACAGCGGCGCGACGCCGCUUCCCCAACGGUCGCCGGCGGGGGGCGCCGCGCGCUUUCCCCCUUACUGCGCCUGCGCGACUCCUUUCCCGCCCAUUCCCCAACGGUCGCCGAGGUGGGGGGGCGCCGCGCGCCUUCCCUCUCACUGCGCCUGCGCGACUUCUCCCCCUUGCCUCCCGAGCGACUGGACUCAGUUCCGCGCAUGCGCAUCGAGGCAUGGCCGUAGUGCGCACGCGCAUCUCUGCCUCCCAGCGUGCCCCGGGGCGGCGGUGUAUUUAAGAGCGCAGCCGGGGCACUGUCGGCCAUUUCGUCGUUGCUACUGCGCUGGGGGAGGUUUUUGGAUCUCUAGGGUAAUCCCCUUUCAGAGGUCAGCCAUGUGCAUCCAUGGUUGCUUUACAGUGUUGUGCCUGAAGCCUCUGGGAGCGACCUGGAUGUCUCCCUCUGCAGGUUGAUACCUCGGGAGCAGGAUGCGCUGCCUCAGGUAAACGCCCCCCUCUUCCCCAAAGAGCUGCUCCGGGGUGGGUGGAAG
rnacentral:lncRNA from 1 species